UACGUAGGGGGCUAGCGUUGUCCGGAUUUAUUGGGCGUAAAGAGCGUGUAGGCGGCCAGGUAGGUCUGCUGUGAAAACUCGAGGCUCAACCUCGAGACGUCGGCGGAAACCAUCUGGCUAGAGUCCGGAAGAGGAGAGUGGAAUUCCUGGUGUAGCGGUGAAAUGCGUAGAUAUCAAGAGGAACACCUGAGGUGAAGACGGGUUGCUGGGCUGACACUGACGCUGAGGCGCGAAAGCCAGGGGAGCAAACGGG
rnacentral:rRNA from 1 species